CAGCAGCCGCGGUAAUACGAAGGGUGCAAGCGUUACUCGGAAUUACUGGGCGUAAAGCGUGCGUAGGUGGUGGUUUAAGUCCGUUGUGAAAGCCCUGGGCUCAACCUGGGAAUUGCAGUGGAUACUGGGUCACUAGAGUGUGGUAGAGGAUAGUGGAAUUUCCGGUGUAGCAGUGAAAUGCGUAGAGAUCGGAAGGAACAUCUGUGGCGAAGGCGACUAUCUGGGCCAACACUGACGCUCAUGCACGAAAGCGUGGGGAGCAAACAGGAUUAGAUACCCGUGUAGUCCCUGUCUCUUAUAC
rnacentral:rRNA from 1 species